rnacentral:rRNA from 1 species
GAUGAACGCUGGCGGCGUGCCUAAAACAUGCAAGUCGAGCGGCAGCGAGUUCCUCGCUAAUGUUCGGAUUUGUUUACCAAUGAUGCAAGUAAUUUAGUCAGAGUAACAAAGUAACGACUAGUUGUUUAAGUUAAAAGGUAGAUUUAAUAUUCCGGAUAUGAGCGAGGAAUGUCGGCGAGCGGCGGACGGCUGAGUAGCGCGUAGGAACAUACCCCAAAGUGAGGCAUAACCGCCCGAAAGGGUGGCUAAUACCGCAUAUUGUCUUCGGAUGAAAGCUUUUAGCGCUUUGGGAAUGGCCUGCGUUUGAUUAGCUAGUUGGUGAGGUAAGGGCUUACCAAGGCGAUGAUCAAUAGCUGGUUUGAGAGAAUGAUCAGCCAGACUGGAACUGAGACACGGUCCAGACUCCUACGGGAGGCAGCAGUUGGGAAUUUUCCACAAUGGGCGAAAGCCUGAUGGAGCAACGCCGCGUGCAGGAAGAAUGCCUUCGGGUUGU